CGCAAACCGACGUUCAUUUACUUAACAAUGUUUUGAUAUGAUAGGCCGGUUUAGCAUUGGACAUAAAACCCAAUUGUUGGUUUCAACUUUCAAGUUUCAACAGGUGGUAAAAGAAGGAAGAGACAGCAUCAUUAUAAUUUAGAGUUCCAAAAGCAAAGCCAUAAACCUCUUCCUGCUAAUAGCAAUUUCCAGGUCUCUGCGCUGGGCUCCUCUCUGAUUAACCGAAUCAUUUUUUAUCUCAUUCAUCGCCAUGGAUAUUGAAGAAGACAUCAAGGCGUUGCAGCUUGAAUCAUCUGAAGAUUGUGUGAUGACUAAUGCUGAAGAGGGAAACCUGAUGAAGCCCUAAAACCUGAAAAAAUUGAUGGAGACGAUAGUGUGAUGUCAGAAGAAUGCAAGCCAGAUGAUGUUGAAAAACCUAAUUAUAUGGAAGAUGGUAGGUAGAUCGAUGAACAGGUUAUGUAUAAUCUAUUUCUUUUCCGAGUUUUCUCUUUCUUUUAAUUUCUAAUUCUCGACUCAUCUGCUUAACUGCUGAUUCUGUACCAUUGAAACUUUUUGUUUAUUCGUAGGAUUGAUUGCAUUUGAAAUCUCUUUGAAUUGUUUUAUUUUCAUUUAAUUUUUUUUUGGGAAGGGCAUGUGCUCAUGAAUAGGGGAAAGGGGAAGGAAGAAGAGGGAAGAACUUUGAUGAGAUUUGUACAUGCAUCUAAGAGUGGUGCAUGGCGGAAUUUAAACUAUUAGGCUGCAACUCCAACCUCAUUGUGGAAGCUGGGGUGUCUACUCCACAUAUUUCCUAUAAGUUCUCCCUUUAAAGCUACUUUUGCUGGUAUCAUAAGCCUGUGAAAUUUACACUGUGCAUCUGGUACUUAUUUUGUCUUUUGAAUUCCUUCUCACUUAUUUUCGUCCAUACCUUAGUGCGCAGUCCAUUCAAGGAUGCUAAGAAGUGCUAGUGCCUCUUAUUUCUGAAUCCCUUACACUAGCCAGAAGCUCUUGCUACAGAAAAGUUACGAUAGUUAGCAAUGACCUUAAUAUAUAUGAUAGGGCUCCGGGCAGUUAUUUUUUCUGUAAAGCAUUAUCAUGUCUGUUUUGUGCCAAAUUGGAUGAGUUUGAACUCUCAACUUUACCGUGAAGAGUCUGAUUUGAAAAAAGAUGAUAAACGUUGGAUUUCACUUGGAGGUUUAGUGUUGCAAUAAGUGGCAUUGAGCUUCCUGUUCGAAGCUCACUUAAAUUGGGUUGAUGUUGUGAGGUGAAGAAUUUUGUUCUAAGUAAAGCGGGUGCUUAGUGGUUCAAAUAGGCAGAUACUGCUGAGAGCCUGAGACAGUAGUGGAUCCCGUCCCAAGAGGAUUUUUGUUGUCAAAUCCCUUUAGGCCCCAAAAUCCGAGUGAAUAGCGAGUCAGCGAACAACCAUCUGGUAAGAGGCUCUCUCUCUCCUAAACCUUCUUUACUUCUGUUACAACAACAACAACAACAACCCAGUAAAAUCUCACUAAUGAGGUUUGGGGAGGGUAGU